GAUGAUUUGUUGUCUUUAUGUGUUAUUAGCGGAAAUGUCUUUCCAAGAUAGUGCAUAUCAUUCCAGAAGUGUAUCUCCAUAACUGUGCACUCAUUUUUUAUUUAUUUUUUUGUUGGAUCUCCGGCAGUUUACCUUGGUGGACAUCGUGCGCAAAAUCUGUUGGAGUCGUUCUCAAAGAUGACAGAGGAGAGCGAGGGCUUUGAGGAAGAGUCAAUUCAAUUCAGUUUUAGAGGUGGAUGCUCUGUUUACAAAAAUGAGUGUUGACUUUCUGGUUGUGUCUUUGCAUCUUGUUCAACCCUACCCACCCUCUCUUCGUCAUGAUUGUGAAACUCACAAGGGCUACAACCUCGGCGGCAUGGUUGCAGCGAGAUUGUGUAUUAGGGUUUUGAUAAAGCCCUCGAUUUUAUCCAAUUGCAGAUGACAGAAACCACUCAACUGUCUCAUCACGAUGAGUCUUAAUCAUUUUCCCAACUUAUCCUCCCACUCAUCAGUCCUUUCCCUUCUCCAUACUUCUAAUUCUUAAUCAUUCUUCCCCUCUCCUAUUUCAAUAAUAUUCAUGAUUGCUUUGCUUUUGCACUACCGUCAUUUACUUCUUUUUCCUUUUUGUUUCAACAACUUUUUUUAUUUAACUACAAAAACAAACACUUAUAUUCAAACCUCCUCUUUUUUCAAUCAAGGUACAUGCAAUGUAGAGGAGGUUCUUGAACUGAUAAAAUACAAAUCAUGGAGCUGGUUGCGGGAAAAAAUAAAAGGCUUUGAGGUCUCGUUGUUUGAUUGGACAAUGGACCCUUUCCUUUUCUUAUCUUAUAUCAUGUGAUGCCAUAGGGAAGGGGACCCUCAGGAAAUUGAUCGUAGAGGGAUGAAGGGGGGCUGCGUGGGUAUAUAGGGAUAUGGCUCUAAUGCAAUUGUAUUUUUCCUUUCUGUUGGAAAAAUACUGUAUUAUUUUAUAACUGUGUGUGGAUAUGUCUUGUAAGGAUACUGUUACUUUAGUUUUAAUUUGCUAGCA